rnacentral:rRNA from 1 species
GACAGAGGUGCCGAGCGUUAGGCGGAAUCACUGGGCUUAAAGCGUGUGUAGGCGGAUCGUUAAGUGCCUUGUGAAAUCCCACGGCUCAACCGUGGAACUGCUUGGCAUACUGGCGGUCUUGAGCAACCUAGGGGCGAGCGGAACAAAUGGUGGAGCGGUGAAAUGCGUAGAUAUCAUUGGAACGCCAAUGGUGAAAACAGCUCGCUGGGGGUUUGCUGACGCUGAGACGACGAAAGCCAGGGGAGCAAACGGG